rnacentral:rRNA from 1 species
GACGAACGCUGGCGGCGUGCUUAACACAUGCAAGUCGAAUGGAAAGGCCCUGCUUUUGUGGGGUGCUCGAGUGGCGAACGGGUGAGUAACACGUGAGUAACCUGCCCUUGACUUUGGGAUAACUUCAGGAAACUGGGGCUAAUACCGGAUAGGAGCUCCUGCUGCAUGGUGGGGGUUGGAAAGUUUCGGCGGUUGGGGAUGGACUCGCGGCUUAUCAGCUUGUUGGUGGGGUAGUGGCUUACCAAGGCUUUGACGUGUAGCCGGCCUGAGAGGGUGACCGGCCACAUUGGGACUGAGAUACGGCCCAGACUCCUACGGGAGGCAGCAGUGGGGAAUAUUGCACAAUGGGCGGAAGCCUGAUGCAGCAACGCCGCGUGCGGGAUGACGGCCUUCGGGUUGUAAACCGCUUUCGCCUGUGACGAAGCGUGAGUGACGGUAAUGGGUAAAGAAGCACCGGCUAACUACGUG